rnacentral:lncRNA from 1 species
GGUUUAGGGUUGAGGUCGGAUUCGGAGUGAAUUUUUAAAAAUUCAAGCCUGAAUCCUACUCAAAAUUUAAAAUUUGAAUUAGAAUUCGAAUUCAAAAAAAUUUUAAAAAUUCAUAUCCAAAUCCGAACCGGAUCAGAAAUUCGAAACUGGAACCAGAGGCUGAAUCUAAAAAUCCGAACAUGAAACAAUUAUUUUUAUUUUUAAUAUUUCAAAAUGUAUUAUAUUAAAUCUAAACUUUUAAAUACAAAUUGAAAUAUAACAUCAAAUAUAUAUAUAAAAAGUCUGGCUGGGAUGCUAUCGAUAGCACGAAUCAUUUGUGCUAUCAAGUUUUUUGCCGUUAGAUUUACCUCUUUUAUCAUUUCAUCCAUUCGAUUAUAUUAUUCAACUAAUCACCCAUUCAACCCUAGGGAUCCCAUAUCAUCCUAACUGCACAUUUUUUAACCCAAGGGUAGAAAACUUUUUUUUUUUUUUUUGAGAAAUAGGUAGCAAGCUACCUGCUUCAUUCAUUAAGUUAAAUAAACUGAGCGUACAUGUUGGAAGAAGCUAUGGCUUCCGAGAUACAGGCAAAAGGGGGGGGUGACAAGCAAAAGAUGAGGGCGGAGGCAGGGGAAGAAAAGAAAUAAAAAAAAGAAGAAGAGAAAGUAAGGAGCACUUUACAGCACAGCUGACCAGCUACUCAUG